AUGGAGAUGGACGCGACGGAGAGGCUGCGGUGGCGCUUCUCGGACGGCGGCCUCACCGAUCUGCUCGACGCCCGCAGCCUCCACGGUUCCCCCGACAUUGGAAAGAGAAUGCAGUUCCAUUCUUCUCUAGUACAAAGGCUUGCUUUAGAAAAGGAGAUUGAGGGUCACGUAGGUUGCGUGAAUGCUAUUGCAUGGAACUCAAGUGGCUCACUUCUGAUAUCAGGAUCAGAUGACACUAGAGUCAACAUCUGGAAUUAUGCUAAUCAAGAGCUGUUGCAUGAAAUUGAUACUGGACAUUCAGCAAAUGUAUUUUGCACAAAAUUUGUACCGGAAACAUGUGAUGAAGUAGUAGUUUCAGGAGCAGGAGAUGCCGAGGUUCGUGUUUUCAAUUUGUCUCGUUUAAGUGGCAUAAGGCCUAGGGAGGUUUCCAUGGAGCCAGCUGCAGUUUACCAAUGUCACUCAAGGAGGGUCAAGAAACUAGCUGUCGAAGGUGGCAACCCUAAUGUAGUGUGGAGUGCAAGUGAGGAUGGUACUGUAAGACAGCAUGAUUUUAGGGAAUGCAGUUCCUGUCCUCGUGCAGGAUUGGUUAAUCAGGAAUGCCGUAACGUGCUUCUAGAUCUACGAUCUGGAGGAAAGAAGUCUUUAGCUGAUCCCCCCAGACAACCGCUGUCGUUUAAGUCUUGUGAUAUUAGCUCAGUUCGUCCCCAUCAGCUCCUUGUUGGUGGGAGUGAUGCGUUUGCCCGGCUGUACGAUAGGAGAAUGCUUCCACCAUUGAGCUCAUGUCAAACAAGAAGGAAGCCACCGCCUUGUAUAAAAAUGUUCUGUCCAUUGCACCUUGCUGAGAAUAGGAAGUCAAAUUUGCACCUUACCCAUGUUGCGUUCAGCCCGAAUGGGAAUGAGGUUCUUUUGAGUUACAGUGGUGAACAUGUAUAUCUAUUUGAUGUCGACCCAGACAAUACGAGUUCAGUGAGAUACACAGCAGAUGACGUACGCGAUCAGUUAUGUUUACUGCCUUUUCACAAGGAACCAAGAAAACAAAAGUCAAAACGAGACAAGUUUCCAGCUAAGAGAAAUUUGUGUAGGGUAGAUAUGUUGAAGAAACUUAUGCAAGUCGUGAUAAAAUCUCUGGAGACUGGCACAAACCUAAUGCAUGGCAUUGAAGCAUGCUGUGAAAUACUCGAGGCCAUGGAAUCUGAUAUUGAUGAUAGCACGAGGCAUGAUUGUUUGUGUACCCGCGCAGGAUUGUACCUAAAGCGGAGGUGGAAAAAUGAUGUUUACAUGGCUAUUCGGGAUUGCAAUGAAGCAAGGAGUAUUGACUUCGCAUCAUUCCAGGCACACUUGUUCAUGGCUGAUGCACUGCUACAGUUAGGAAGACUGAAGGAGGCAUGUGAAUAUGCAGAAGCUGCACAUAGUCUUGUUCUACCAAAUUCGGUGUCUGCGGAACAGGUGGAAAAUAUAAAGAAGCGACUUGCUGCUGCUGAACUUGAGAAAAAUAAAAAAGAUCAACAAGGAAAUACUAACACUGAUGCACGGCAUGGACGGUUACGGUCAUUGAGUGAUCUAUUGUUCAGAUCAGAUGUUAGUGGGUCAUCAUCACAGGAGGGCCGAGAAGAUUCAGAUUACAAUGAUGAGAUGGAGUUAGACUUUGAUACAUCAGUAUCAGGUGACGAAAGCCAUGAUAGUGAUCCAGCUGAGUCCACUUGUAAUGGCGAUUCUGCCUACGAGCCGGAUGUUGCCAUUGAUAUGAAACAAAGAUAUGUUGGGCACUGCAAUGUGGGGACAGAUAUAAAGCAAGCUAGCUUUCUUGGUGAACAAGGGGAAUUUAUUGCCAGCGGAAGUGAUGAUGGUAGAUGGUUCAUAUGGGAGAAAAGAACAGGAAGGCUUGUUAAAAUGCUUGCAGGGGAUGGAGCUGUUGUGAACUGUAUACAGUCUCAUCCCUAUGAUUGUGCUGUUGCAACGAGUGGAAUUGACAAUACAAUAAAGUUAUGGACACCGGAUGCAGAAGGUACUUCUAUGGUUGAUGGACCAGAAAUUGAUGUGUUAAGUGCCAUAGAGAACAACCAGAAGAAGUUAUGCCGCAACCGUGAAACUUUGUUGCCUUUUGAGUUUUUGGAACGAUUUGGGGCGCAUGAAUUUGCUGAAGGAAGCUUGCAUCCUUUAGAGUGUGCGCAGACUUGA
rnacentral:rRNA from 1 species